GACGAACCGUGCGAACGUUGUUCGGAAUCACUGGGCUUAAAGGGCGCGUAGGCGGUUCAGUAAGUCGGGUGUGAAACCUCCAGGCUCAACCUGGAGACGCCACCCGAUACUGCUGUGACUAGAGUCCAGUAGGGGAGCAUGGAAUUCCUGGUGUAGCGGUGAAAUGCGCAGAUAUCAGGAGGAACACCAGUGGCGAAGGCGGUGCUCUGGGCUGGAACUGACACUGAGGAGCGAAAGCGUGGGGAGCGAACAGG
rnacentral:rRNA from 1 species